CGGAGGAAAAGAAACCAACAGGGAUUGCCCCAGUAACGGCGAGUGAAGCGGCAACAGCUCAAAUUUGAAAUCUGGCUCUCGGGCCCGAGUUGUAAUUUGUAGAGGAUGCUUUUGGCGAGGUGGCUUCUGAGUUCCCUGGAACGGGACGCCAGAGAGGGUGAGAGCCCCGUAUAGUCGCACACCAAGCCUUUGUAAAGCUCCUUCGACGAGUCGAGUAGUUUGGGAAUGCUGCUCAAAAUGGGAGGUAUAUCUCUUCUAAAGCUAAAUAUAGGCCAGAGACCGAUAGCGCACAAGUAGAGUGAUCGAAAGAUGAAAAGCACUUUGAAAAGAGGGUUAAAUAGCACGUGAAAUUGUUGAAAGGGAAGCGCUUGUGACCAGACUUGUGCCGGGCUGAUCAUCCACCGUUCUCGGUGGUGCACUCGACCCGGCUCAGGCCAGCGUCGGUUCUCGCAGGGGGACAAAAGCUUCGGGAACGUGGCACCUUCGGGUGUGUUAUAGCCCGUUGCUUAAUACCCUUGUGGGGACCGAGGUUCGCGCUCUGCAAGGACGCUGGCAUAAUGGUCAUCAGCGACCCGUCUUGAA
rnacentral:rRNA from 1 species